rnacentral:rRNA from 1 species
UACGUAGGGACCGAGCGUUGUCCUGAAUCAUUGGGCGUAAAGAGCGUGUAGGCGGCCACUUAAGUCCUGCGUGAAAUCUUGCGGCUCAACCGCAAGCGGUCGUGGGAAACUGGGUGGCUAGAGUGCGGGAGAGGAGAGUGGAAUUCCUGGUGUAGCGGUGGAAUGCGCAGAUAUCUGGAGGAACACCAGUGGCGAAAGCGCGUGACUGGACCAUAACUGACGCUGAGGAACGAAAGCCAGGGUAGCGAAAGGG